GACGAACGCUGGCGGCGUGCCUAAUACAUGCAAGUCGAGCGAGACUCUUCGGAGUCUAGCGGCGGACGGGUGAGUAACACGUGGGCAACCUGCCUGUAAGACUGGGAUAACACCAGGAAACCGGUGCUAAUACCGGAUAAUCCUUUUCCUCUCAUGAGGAAAAGCUGAAAGACGGUUUCGGCUGUCACUUACAGAUGGGCCCGCGGCGCAUUAGCUAGUUGGUGAGGUAACGGCUCACCAAGGCGACGAUGCGUAGCCGACCUGAGAGGGUGAUCGGCCACACUGGGACUGAGACACGGCCCAGACUCCUACGGGAGGCAGCAGUAGGGAAUCUUCCACAAUGGACGAAGGUCUGAUGGAGCAACGCCGCGUGAGCGUUGAAGGCCUUCGGGUCGUAAAGCUCUGUUGUUAGGGAAGAACAAGUACCGGAGUAACUGGCUGUACCUUGACGGUACCUUAUUAGAAAGCCACGGCUAACUACGUGCCAGCCGCCGCCGUAAAAC
rnacentral:rRNA from 1 species